rnacentral:rRNA from 1 species
GAAAAGAAACCAACAGGGAUUGCCCCAGUAACGGCGAGUGAAGCGGCAAGAGCUCAAAUUUGAAAUCUGGCCUCCCCCGGGGGUCCGAGUUGUAAUUUGCAGAGGAUGCUUCGGGCGCGGCCCCCGUCUAAGUUCCUUGGAACAGGACGUCAGAGAGGGUGAGAAUCCCGUCUUGGGCGGGCGGCCCGCGCCCGUGUGAAGCUCCUUCGACGAGUCGAGUUGUUUGGGAAUGCAGCUCUAAGCGGGUGGUAAAUUUCAUCUAAAGCUAAAUACCGGCCGGAGACCGAUAGCGCACAAGUAGAGUGAUCGAAAGGUUAAAAGCACCUUGAAAAGGGAGUUAAACAGCACGUGAAAUUGUUGAAAGGGAAGCGCUUGCGGCCAGACUCGGGGGGCGGGGUUCAGCGGGCGCUCGUCGCCCGUGCACUGCCCGCUCCCCGGGCCAGCAUCAGCUUCGACGGCCGGUCAAAGGCCCCCGGAAUGUGUCGUCUCUAGGGACGUCUUAUAGCCGGGGGUGCAAUGCGGCCCGUCGAGACUGAGGAACGCGCUCCGGCUCGGAUGCUGGCGUAAUGGCCGUAA